CCGGAACCCGCCUGACUCCGAACAGGCCCCUGAGACGGCACGGGCAGCCCGCAGCGCUCCCACCCAACGCCUCAUGACACUUCCGAUGCGUCACUUCCGGCCGUAAGAAGCGGGAGGAGGAAGCGGAGCGGCGCAGGGAGUGUCAUGGAGGAACCGCGGCCGAGUGGGGAACCUCAGAGCUCGGCGGCGGGUCCGGGCCCGGGCCCGGCGCCCGGCGGGCCCCCUGCGGCUCCGCAACCUCCCUCGCAGGCUCCCUCGCAGCCGUCUGCCGCUCCACACCCCCCCCCGGACGCCGCCCCGCAGCCAGGCCCCGCGACGGCCCCGCUGGACGACACGCGCUUCAUGAUCGCCGGCACCAACUGGUACUGACGGUCCGCGGAAGAAGAGCGGCCGGCGGGCAAUAAACGAGGCGGAACUCUG